rnacentral:lncRNA from 10 species
AGUGCAAUAGUAGAGACAAAGCUAUGGCUAGACUCCAGAAAAACGAUGUGGAAACUCAAAUAAAGAGAGGUGAAAGAGUCCCCAGGACAACACAAAAAGGUGACAGAGCCACUGAAUUUAAAUCCAUACCCUCUAAUUCAAGGAAAUGAAAGAAGAGUUUUGAAGAGACAGCUGCCCUCCAUGCUCACGGCAGCAUCAUUCAAAACAGCUAAGAUGAAGAAACAACUAAAAAAGUCUGUUGAGAAAUGAAUAAAGAAAUACAAUAAUUUGUUUUUUUCUUCUUCCCACUUUCAACUUGUGAGACCCCAUCACUGCCUUUUGGACUCUUGCUUCUUUUCUGAUUCAUGUUCCUGUUCACCAUCACCUGCCCCACAGCACCCUCACAGGAAAAGAAAAAAAAAAGCCAAAACAAAACCGAUCUCUUUGUUCACUGGAUCAAAAGUCUUUUAUUAUAGUGCAUUCAGACAUUCAGAAUACAUAUAUGAGGCCUGCU